rnacentral:rRNA from 1 species
GUGGGGAAUAUUGGACAAUGGGCGCAAGCCUGAUCCAGCCAUGCCGCGUGAGUGAUGAAGGCCCUAGGGUUGUAAAGCUCUUUCACCGGUGAAGAUAAUGACGGUAACCGGAGAAGAAGCCCCGGCUAACUUCGUGCCAGCAGCCGCGGUAAUACGAAGGGGGCUAGCGUUGUUCGGAAUUACUGGGCGUAAAGCGCACGUAGGCGGACAUUUAAGUCAGGGGUGAAAUCCCAGAGCUAAACUCUGGAACUGCCUUUGAUACUGGGUGUCUUGAGUAUGGAAGAGGUAAGUGGAAUUCCGAGUGUAGAGGUGAAAUUCGUAGAUAUUCGGAGGAACACCAGUGGCGAAGGCGGCUUACUGGUCCAUUACUGACGCUGAGGUGCGAAAGCGUGGGGAGCAAACAGGAUUAGAAACCCCGGUAGUCC